rnacentral:lncRNA from 10 species
UGGACUUUGAAAUUGUAAGUGUUUUACAUAUUACCAAACUAAGUUUUUAAGAUAGUCCCUAAAAUUGAAAGAAUGGUAUCUGAAAUGAAUGAAUCUAAAUUCCUUGGAUUGCAUUCUACAGGCGCCAACCCUGAGACAAAAAUUUGGAAGGUGGCCCUGAGCAGCAGCUGAAGGGAAGUGGGAGGUUGCCUGUUCACUCUGCCUGGUCAUAUGCAGAAAACCGAAACUAGACCCCUUGCUGACACUUAUACAAAAAUUAACUCAAGAUGCAUUAAAGAUUUAAACGUGAGACCUAAAACCAGAAAAAUCCUAGAAGAAAACCUAGGCAACACCAUUGAGGACGUAAGCAUGGGCAAAGACUUCAUGACUAAAACACCA